UCCCUCGCGUCAGGAGAGCGUUCCCGGUAGUCGAGGGAACCGCCGAAGGCGCAGGCGCAUAGCCGAACGCUCAGGCACCCAGGACUGACAAAACGCC
rnacentral:ncRNA from 1 species